AGGCUAAGAAAGUGGUGGAUGG
rnacentral:siRNA from 1 species